ACUACGCGGGAAUCUGUCGAUAUAUCCGAUUAAAUCCUCUUGUUCCUAGAUGUUCUAUAGGAAAGGAAUAAA
rnacentral:tRNA from 1 species